rnacentral:siRNA from 1 species
AGUGAUGAUAUGAUGCUAAAGUGA